rfam:Bacillus sp. FJAT-25509 scaffold25, whole genome shotgun sequence.
GCGGAAGUAGUUCAGUGGUAGAAUACAACCUUGCCAAGGUUGGGGUCGCGGGUUCGAACCCCGUCUUCCGCU